AAAGACUCAUUGAAUGAUUUUAUAGUUUAAGGUUAAUAAAUUUCCAUAAAUUAAAGUUGAAAACUUAUGAGAACAUGUUUUCUGUAACAAAACUUAGUAAAAACAAACUAGUAAGGUUUAUAGAUUCUUUAAUGAUUAUGUAUGUAUUCAUAAACUAGUUCGAUAAACAUCGUUCGAUAAAACGUCGAACAACACACAACAUUGAAGCGCGAAAUUUCAAAUUCAAGGAAAGAUAAAUAACAAAUAUUGCGAACAAAUGAUAUUAAAUUUACAAUAAUCUCAUGUAAGAAAAAAUAAAAGGGAUAAAAGUAGUACAGAAGAUAGAAAAAUCUAUAAAACUGGUGGCUGGGAAAUAGAAAAUAUAUAAAUUUAUGUUAUUAGAGUUUAGUACUUCUGUCGAUCAAUGUGUUACGACCGUUCGCGGAGAGACGCAGUCGCAGUAGCGAGAGGCGUAAAUUCUCGCUACGAUUCGGUGAAUCGACGCCGCGAAGUAAUCGUUCCCCUGUUUCGGUUAAGAUAAGAGGUGGUUAAAUGAAUAUGACACAGUAUAGAUAUUGACCGUUCGAAGGAUGUAAAAUCAGAACUGUCUUGGGAGACGAUGCUGUCUCGGAGGAAAGCUAA